UACGUAGGGGGCAAGCGUUGUCCGGAAUCAUUGGGCGUAAAGCGCGCGUAGGCGGCCCGAUAAGUCCGCUGUAAAAGUCCAGGGCUCAACCCUGGAAAGCCGGUGGAUACUGUCGGGCUAGAGUCCGGAAGAGGCGAGUGGAAUUCCUGGUGUAGCGGUGGAAUGCGCAGAUAUCAGGAGGAACACCGGUGGCGAAGGCGGCAUCCUGGACCGGCAUUGACGCUGAGGCGCGAAAGCCAGGGGAGCAAACGGG
rnacentral:rRNA from 1 species